rnacentral:miRNA from 1 species
GACGUCGAAUAUCGACGUCAUAAACACCAAAGUUGACCGUGUUUAUGACGUCGAAUAUCGACGUCAUAAACACCAAAGUUGAUCGUGUUUAUGACGUCGAAUAUCGACGUCAUAAACAUCUAAGUUUAUCGUGUUUAUGACGUCGAAUAUCGACGCC